CCUACGGGGGCAGCAGUGGGGAAUAUUGGACAAUGGGCGAAAGCCUGAUCCAGCCAUGCCGCGUGUGUGAAGAAGGCCUUCGGGUUGUAAAGCACUUUCAGUGGGGAAGAAAGCCUUGGGGCUAAUACCCUCGAGGAAGGACAUCACCCACAGAAGAAGCACCGGCUAACUCCGUGCCAGCAGCCGCGGUAAUACGGAGGGUGCGAGCGUUAAUCGGAAUUACUGGGCGUAAAGCGCGCGUAGGCGGUCUGAUAAGCCGGUUGUGAAAGCCCCGGGCUCAACCUGGGAACGGCAUCCGGAACUGUCAGGCUAGAGUGCAGGAGAGGAAGGUAGAAUUCCCGGUGUAGCGGUGAAAUGCGUAGAGAUCGGGAGGAAUACCAGUGGCGAAGGCGGCCUUCUGGACUGACACUGACGCUGAGGUGCGAAAGCGUGGGUAGCAAACAGGAUUAGAUACCCCGUAGUC
rnacentral:rRNA from 1 species